rnacentral:rRNA from 1 species
AUGGCUUCUUUGAGGAUGGCCGUGCUGCUGUUCUUGGUUUGCACUCUCGGUGUCGCUAGGAAGAUGGAAGCGGCAAGGAUGAUGCAGAGAGGUGAGGUUGUGGUGGGUAAUGGAGGAGACGGUGGCCGCAAUGCGCUGCAGCACGGGUUCGUCGACGGCCACCGGCCAAGGCCUGUUGCGUCGUUGACGAUGGGGGACGACGUCGUCGAGGCGCCGUCGAGCCAGGCAGCUGGUGGAGACGGCGCGAAGAGGGAGGUGCCAGGUGGGCCUGACCCGAUACACCACCAUGGCAGCAUCCCGCCAAAUUCGGUCGCUCCAUAG